rnacentral:rRNA from 1 species
UACGUAGGGUGCGAGCGUUAAUCGGAAUUACUGGGCGUAAAGCGUGCGCAGGCGGUUCGUUGUGUCCGCGGUGAAAGCCCCGGGCUUAACCUGGGAAUGGCCGUUGAAACUGGCGAACUGGAGUGUGGCAGAGGGGGGUGGAAUUCCGCGUGUAGCAGUGAAAUGCGUAGAGAUGCGGAGGAACACCGAUGGCGAAGGCAGCCCCCUGGGCUAACACUGACGCUCAGGCACGAAAGCGUGGGGAGCAAACAGG